rnacentral:rRNA from 1 species
AUUGAACGCUGGCGGCAUGCCUUACACAUGCAAGUCGAACGGUAACGGGCCUUCGGGUGCCGACGAGUGGCGAACGGGUGAGUAAUACAUCGGAACGUGCCCGAUCGUGGGGGAUAACGAGGCGAAAGCUUUGCUAAUACCGCAUACGAUCUACGGAUGAAAGCAGGGGACCGCAAGGCCUUGCGCGGACGGAGCGGCCGAUGGCAGAUUAGGUAGUUGGUGGGAUAAAAGCUUGCCAAGCCGACGAUCUGUAGCUGGUCUGAGAGGAUGAUCAGCCACACUGGGACUGAGACACGGCCCAGACUCCUACGGGAGGCAGCAGUGGGGAAUUUUGGACAAUGGGCGCAAGCCUGAUCCAGCCAUGCCGCGUGCAGGAUGAAGGCCUUCGGGUUGUAAACUGCUUUUGUACGGAACGAAAAGCCUUCUUUUAAUACAGGAGGGUCAUGACGGUACCGGAAGAAUAAGCACCGGCUAACUACGUG